rnacentral:rRNA from 1 species
AACGAACGCUGGCGGCAUGCCUAACACAUGCAAGUCGAACGAGACCUUCGGGUCUAGUGGCGCACGGGUGCGUAACGCGUGGGAACCUGCCCUUAGGUUCGGAAUAACUCCCCGAAAGGGGUGCUAAUACCGGAUAAUGUCUUCGGACCAAAGAUUUAUCGCCUUUGGAUGGGCCCGCGUUGGAUUAGCUAGUUGGUAGGGUAAAAGCCUACCAAGGCGACGAUCCAUAGCUGGUCUGAGAGGAUGAUCAGCCACACUGGGACUGAGACACGGCCCAGACUCCUACGGGAGGCAGCAGUGGGGAAUAUUGGACAAUGGGCGAAAGCCUGUUUCAGCAAUGCCGCGUGAGUGAUGAAGGCCUUAGGGUUGUAAAGCUCUUUUACCCGGGAUGAUAAUGACAGUACCGGGAGAAUAAGCUCCGGCUAACUCCGUG